rnacentral:rRNA from 1 species
GGGUCAGUAGAUUGGUCGUGCCACUGGUAUGCACUGGUCUUACUGGCUCCUCCUUCCUGAUGAACCGUAAUGCCAUUAAUUUGGUGUUGCGGGGAGACUGGACUGUUACUUUGAAAAAAUUAGAGUGUUCAAAGCAGGCUUACGUCUGAAUACAUUAGCAUGGAAUAAUAAAAUAGGACG